UACGUAGGGUGCGAGCGUUGUCCGGAAUUAUUGGGCGUAAAGGGCUCGUAGGCGGUCUGUCGCGUCGGGAGUGAAAAACUCAGGGGCUUAACCCCUGAGCCUGCUUCCGAUACGGGGCAGACUAGAGGUAUGCAGGGGGAGAACGGAAUUCCUGGUGUAGCGGUGGAAUGCGCAGAUAUCAGGAGGAACACCGGUGGCGAAGGCGGUUCUCUGGGCAUUACCUGACGCUGAGGAGCGAAAGUGUGGGGAGCGAACAGG
rnacentral:rRNA from 1 species